GAAAAUUUAAUUGAUGAGGAACCAUGAAGGGUUCAGAAGAAAUAAGGUGAAUUGGUUAUGGAGGAUGUUUAUAUAUACAUUGAUUUCAUGAAAUAUGAAAAUUUUCAAUGUAUGCAUGUAAGGUAUUUGUGAAAAUGCAAAAAUGAUAUAUUAAGAAUAAUAUGCUAGCUGAGAUAUGAAAUAUCUUUUGUCCCAGAUAAUGUUUUGAAGAAAU
rnacentral:lncRNA from 1 species